AAAGUCGUAACAAGGUUUCCGUAGGUGAACCUGCGGAAGGAUCAUUAUUGAUUCAAGAGGAUGUGCUGGCUCUUUUUGUUGGAAGAGCAUCGUGCACUCUCUCAAAAUCACUCUAUUCACCUGUGCACAAUUUGGUAGGCAUCGAGAAAGAGGGAAAACCUGUUUUCCCUCAAACUCGUUGUCUAUUGUUUCAUUUCAUACACACCCCGAUGAAUUGUAAUCGAACAAACUUAUAAAUAUAACAACUUUCAACAAUGGAUCUCUUGGUUCUC
rnacentral:misc_RNA from 1 species